GAGGUUUUUGCUAUGCCUUCAGUUCUAUCACAGUCUAUUAGAGGUGCUUUUGUCUGACUCUCCCUCAGGAUAACAACAACAAGCCUUGGUCAUUCAGCAUGGUGCCUGACCUUCACCAAGUAUUGGGAGCCUCCAAUUCCUGCUGCUUCUAGUCUGCCAUCUUUGCCACGCCCCCAGAAAGUUCUGACUAUUCAAUUUCUACCAUACCAAAAUUAGACUCCUCCUCCCCCUAAGUAAAAGUGGGGCAAAAUGGGCACAUGGACAUGCUUUCCCACCUUCAGUGAAGGAAGGAUAUGUGUUUCAGGAAAUAGUACUACAGCAAUUCAACGUAGAAGAAGAGAAGAUGAGGAAGAAGAAGAGGAGGAAGAGGAAAAAGAAGAAGGAAGAGGAGGAGGAGGAGAA